UGGGGAAUUUUGGACAAUGGGCGCAAGCCUGAUCCAGCUAUUCCGCGUGUGGGAUGAAGGCCCUCGGGUUGUAAACCACUUUUGUAGAGAACGAAAAGACACCUUUUAAAAAAGGGUGUUGCUGACGGUACUCUAAGAAUAAGCACCGGCUAACUACGUGCCAGCAGCCGCGGUAAUACGUAGGGUGCGAGCGUUAAUCGGAAUUACUGGGCGUAAAGGGUGCGCAGGCGGUUGAGUAAGACAGAUGUGAAAUCCCCGAGCUUAACUCGGGAAUGGCAUAUGUGACUGCUCGACUAGAGUGUGUCAGAGGGAGGUGGAAUUCCACGUGUAGCAGUGAAAUGCGUAGAUAUGUGGAAGAACACCGAUGGCGAAGGCAGCCUCCUGGGACAUAAUUGACGCUCAGGCACGAAAGCGUGGGGAGCAAACAGG
rnacentral:rRNA from 1 species